GUUGGUGAAUGUGAUUUGUCUGCUUAAUUGCGAUAACGAACGAGAUCUCUGCCAAUUACUAGAUGCUGCUUUCGCUGUAGGUUGGUGAAGCAGGCCAGGCUUCGGCCUAAUCCUGAUUCAUCACCGAGAAGGCAGAGCUUUUACUUAUUGGGAUUAUGCGUCUUCUAAACGCAUUGAAACGAGAGCCCAAAGCAGGU
rnacentral:rRNA from 1 species